CGCGUUGAGGAUCCGCUGGUAGUGGCUUUUGUCCUGACCUGAACACAAGAUUAUUUGGGUGCGUUUUGUUCAGUUGAGUUACGUGUUCACUUUAUUAAGAGCUGCUCUGUUAGAUUAGUACCAAUUAUGAGAGAUCCUGGAAAUAGAUGUGGAGAAAUCCGCGGUUUAAGACGCAAGUCUUCCGACGCCUCUGGAUACUUGCUGGGAAGGGCCGCAUGUCGGUACCGUUCCAAGCUCAGCUCCAUUGGGACUGCUCCUGUGGGUUCCACCUCUUCGGCAAAUACUUGAGAAUCUGAAGGUAAAUCAGGAGGGUCUGGGAAAAUGUACUUUUAGUGAGUUUGGGAAAUAGUUACCAAUCAGCAGCAGACGCACGUGAUUGAUAACGUAGGAUAACUGUUGGCAUACUCGCGCUCUUUCCUCCUCGUUCCAAUGAGGGGUUGGCUGGGUGACUCCAACUUGAUAUUUAGCCCAAUUUAAUACUGCCCUCCACACAUCUUCCUCUUCAAGGCAUAGCUAUAAAAUAUGAAUAGUUACCCCAUUUAUUUUAUUAGGUUUGAGGGUCCGCACCAUUGCGCAUUUAAGUUGGUUGUGGGAGUAUACAAAAAGGGUUUUUUUUAGGUUUCACGUUUAUGAAUCUCAACUCUUUUUAAACUGCGCCACUGAGCAUUGGAGUUCGCUGAAAGAAUCUAGUUUUUACUUACAGUCGGCUUAGAAAAUCGCCAUAUUCUAUCCGCCCUCAUAACGUAGUAUUUUAAGAUGCUAUCAUGCAUGCAAAUGUUUUGCGUCUAUAGGCAAAAAUAAAACAAUAAUUUGCAUUUAUUUAAACUGAAAGCAGAAUUAAAAUUCUAAUAGUUGCAUUCGAACAAUAUUUAAUUUAAAACCAUCUGUAGUAUAGCAUAUAAAACAAUCGUUUUGUUUCUUCAUUUUCUUCCUUGUUUCUGACUGUGUUCAUUUAAAGAUUUAUCUCUUUUUAAUUAAAUAUUUCCUAAUGUU